GUGUAAUCCAACACACAAUCUGACAGUCCAUGCACAAUAUCACAGUCCAUGCGUAAUCCAACACACAAUCUGACAGUCCAUGCACACUAUCACAGUCCAUGUGUAAUCCAACACACAAUCUGACAGUCCAUGCACACUAUCACAGUCCAUGUGUAAUCCAACACACAAUCUGACAGUCCAUGCACAAUAUCACAGUCCAUGCGUAAUCCAACACACAAUCUGACAGUCCAUGCACACUAUCACAGUCCAUGCAUAAUCCAACACACAAUCUGACAGUCCAUGCACAAUAUCACAGUCCAUGCGUAAUCCAACACACAAUCUGACAGUCCAUGUGUAAUCCAACACGCAAUCUGACAGUCCAUGCGCAAUAUCACAGUCCAUGCGUAAUCCAACACACAAUCUGACAGUCCAUGCACAAUAUCACAGUCCAUGCGUAAUCCAACACACAAUCUGACAGUCCAUGCACACUAUCACAGUCCAUGCGUAAUCCAACACACAAUCUGACAGUCCAUGCACACUAUCACAGUCCAUGCGUAAUCCAACACACAAUCUGACAGUCCAUGCACAAUAUCACAGUCCAUGUGUAAUCCAACACACAAUCUGACAGUCCAUGCACACUAUCACAGUCCACGCUUAAUCCAACACACAAUCUGACAGUCCAUGCACAAUAUCACAGUCCACGCUUAAUCCAACACACAAUCUGACAGUCCAUGCACACUAUCACAGUCCAUGUGUAAUCCAACACGCAAUCUGACAGUCCAUG